AAGAAUAAAUAGCUACUUGUACCCGUGUGGCCCGUUCACGGUACGGAGUAUACAAUAUGUCCGAGCGUGGGAUCUCACUUUUUUUUUUACAGCAUAUAAAAACCUGUGGAAAAAACUCUUUUGAUUAAUAUUGCCGUUAUUUGGGAUAUCAUCUAUCCCUCGAACACACGUAUACGUCUUUGCCUUUUGACUUCCAAUCACGUCUGAAUAAUGUUUU